UGCCAGCCGCCGCGGUAACACGAACUGCGCAAACGUUAUUCGGAAUCACUGGGCUUAAAGAGUCCGUAGGCGGCUCGGCAGGUGAGGUGUGAAAUCCCACGGCUCAACCGUGGAAUUGCGCUUCAAACCGCCGGGCUAGAGGGAGAUAGAGGAGAGCGGAACUGAUGGUGGAGCGGUGAAAUGCGUUGAUAUCAUCAGGAACACCGGUGGCGAAAGCGGCUCUCUGGGUCUCUUCUGACGCUGAGGGACGAAAGCUAGGGGAGCGAACGGGAUUAGAUA
rnacentral:rRNA from 1 species